rnacentral:sRNA from 1 species
UUUGAGUGUGAUCCUGAAAGGAACUGUAGUCCCGUCGCCGUCCCUUUGCAUUGAUUGUAUGAUACAUCGAAGACAUUAGGAACAUUGAUUUGAAAAUGGGACAUUUGUUACUAAGAGGCAAAUGGAAAGAAGCCACAGCUGUUACAAGCAGUAUUGGCACAUCGGUCUAACACACUGGGAACCUAACCUGCAAUAAGAUCUAGGACUUUGUACAUUUCUGUCAUUGGGCUAACUGGUCAGCCUUAGAUAGACGUUGAUCACCAAAUAUGGCGAGGUUUGAUUACGUUCUAGCUGUCACCAUGGCUAUCUCCUUA